UGUCACUGAAGGAGGCGUGGCCAAUGUACCCAUCAGUUUUAUUGAAGGAGGAGUGGCCUCUAUGUGAGUCAGUCUCAUUGAAGGAGGCGUGGCCUCGGUGUGUAUCAGUGUCGCUGAAGGAGGCGUGGCCAAUGUACCCAUCAGUUUUAUUGAAGGAGGAGUGGCCUCUAUGUGAGUCAGUCUCAUUGGAGGAGGCGUGGCCUCAAUGUGUCUUAGGGUCGCUGAAGGAGGUGUGGCCAAUGUACCCAUCAGUCUCAUUGAAGGAGGAGUGGCCUCUAUUUGAGUCAGUCUCAUUGGAGGAGGCGUGGCCUCAAUGUGUAUUAGGGUCGCUGAAGGAGGCGUGGCCAAUGUACCCAUCAGUUUUAUUGAAGGAGGAGUGGCCUCUGUGAGUCAGUCUCAUUAAAGGAGGAGUGGCCUCGAUGUGUAUUAGGGUCGCUGAAGGAGGCGUGGCCUAUGUACCUGUCAGUCUCAGUGACGGGGGCGUGGCUUAUCACAAGCUAAGGUGCAAGGUACUCAUACUGUAGCUCCACAAAACAGCAAUUCCACAGCGGUUACAUUUCUUUACUUUUAUCCGUUUAGAGUUGCGGAACGCCCGUGAAACAAAUUCGCAUUUACGUUAUCGCAGCUAUGAACGGCCGUUCCGUCGCCAGACUCUCUCUCUCUCUCUCUCUCUCUCUCUCUCUCUCUCUCUCUUCAAGACGCUAAGUAAAAAAAAAAUAAAUAAAACUUCAGGAAGUUCCAGCUUCACCUCUCACUCUCAUAAAAGCUCUGACACCGGAGACUCCUUCCGUAAACGUCUCCUUACGCAAACGUCCGCCGUACGCAUCCCUGCGAGCGGGCUGUUACCGUAGAGACGAUAAGCGCGUAUCAGAGCAGCGCAUUAAUGCUGUGUAGCGGUUGUAGGAAACGAAUCGUCAAAUAUAAAACAGCGCGAUAAUGUCAGAAACCACCGUCGGAGGAAUGAAUCGGCAGGCCUGUACCGUGGAAAAACGAAAACGUUUACG
ensembl:lncRNA